GCAUCGGGAAUCUUUCCCGCUCUUGAUGUGAUGUGGCAUGACUGGGGACAGGGGGAUGCAAAAGCAACACAGAGCAAAUCCAACAAGUUUCCAUUCCAGUUGAAGAUUGUCCUCACAACUCUGUGACGUUU